rnacentral:rRNA from 1 species
AAUCCAUAGGUUAAUGAGGCGAACCGGGGGAACUGAAACAUCUAAGUACCCCGAGGAAAAGAAAUCAACCGAGAUUCCCCCAGUAGCGGCGAGCGAACGGGGAGGAGCCCAGAGCCUGAAUCAGCAUGUGUGUUAGUGGAAGCGUCUGGAAAGGCGCGCGAUACAGGGUGACAGCCCCGUACACAAAAGCGCAUGUGCUGUGAGCUCGAUGAGUAGGGCGGGACACGUGGUAUCCUGUCUGAAUAUGGGGGGACCAUCCUCCAAGGCUAAAUACUCCUGACUGACCGAUAGUGAACCAGUACCGUGAGGGAAAGGCGAAAAGAACCCCGGCGAGGGGAGUGAAAAAGAACCUGAAACCGUGUACGUACAAGCAGUGGGAGCACCCUUUUGGGUGUGACUGCGUACCUUUUGUAUAAUGGGUCAGCGACUUAUAUUCUGUAGCAAGGUUAACCGAAUAGGGGAGCCGUAGGGAAACCGAGUCUUAACCGGGCGUUAAGUUGCAGGGUAUAGACCCGAAACCCGGUGAUCUAGCCAUGGGCAGGUUGAAGGUUGGGUAACACUAACUGGAGGACCGAACCGACUAAUGUUGAAAAAUUAGCGGAUGACCUGUGGCUGGGGGUGAAAGGCCAAUCAAACCGGGAGAUAGCUGGUUCUCCCCGAAAGCUAUUUAGGUAGCGCCUCGUGAACUCAU